AAACCAAAGCUGGCGACCGGCGCACGGGUGAGUAACACGUAUCCAACCUGCCUCAUACUCGGGGAUAGCCUUUCGAAAGAAAGAUUAAUAUCCGAUAGCAUAUAUUUCCCGCAUGGGUUUUAUACUAAAGAAAUUCGGUAUGAGAUGGGGAUGCGUUCCAUUAGUUUGUUGGGGGGGUAACGGCCCACCAAGACUACGAUGGAUAGGGGUUCUGAGAGGAAGGUCCCCCACAUUGGAACUGAGACACGGUCCAA
rnacentral:rRNA from 1 species